AUUGAACGCUGGCGGCAGGCCUAACACAUGCAAGUCGAACGGUAACAGGAAACAGCUUGCUGUUUCGCUGACGAGUGGCGGACGGGUGAGUAAUGUCUGGGAAACUGCCUGAUGGAGGGGGAUAACUACUGGAAACGGUAGCUAAUACCGCAUAACGUCGCAAGCCCAAAGUGGGGGACCCUCGGGCCUCUUGCCAUCGGAUGUGCCCAGAUGGGAUUAGCUUGUUGGUGGGGUAACGGCUCACCAAGGCGACGAUCCCUAGCUGGUCUGAGAGGAUGACCAGCCACACUGGAACUGAGACACGGUCCAGACUCCUACGGGAGGCAGCAGUGGGGAAUAUUGCACAAUGGGCGCAAGCCUGAUGCAGCCAUGCCGCGUGUAUGAAGAAGGCCUUCGGGUUGUAAAGUACUUUCAGCGGGGAGGAAGGGAGUAGAGUUAAUACCUUUGCUCAUUGACGUUACCCGCAGAAGAAGCACCGGCUAACUCCGUG
rnacentral:rRNA from 1 species